GAUGAACGCUGGCGGCGUGCCUAAUACAUGCAAGUCGAGCGAACGGACGAGAAGCUUGCUUUUCUGAUGUUAGCGGCGGACGGGUGAGUAACACGUGGAUAACCUACCUAUAAGACUGGGAUAACUUCGGGAAACCGGAGCUAAUACCGGAUAAUAUUUUGAACCGCAUGGUUCAAAAGUGAAAGACGGUCUUGCUGUCACUUAUAGAUGGAUCCGCGCUGCAUUAGCUAGUUGGUAAGGUAACGGCUUACCAAGGCAACGAUGCAUAGCCGACCUGAGAGGGUGAUCGGCCACACUGGAACUGAGACACGGUCCAGACUCCUACGGGAGGCAGCAGUAGGGAAUCUUCCGCAAUGGGCGAAAGCCUGACGGAGCAAUGCCGCGUGAGUGAUGAAGGUCUUCGGAUCGUAAAACUCUGUUAUUAGGGAAGAACAUAUGUGUAAGUAACUGUGCACAUCUUGACGGUACCUAAUCAGAAAGCCACGGCUAACUACGUGCCAGCAGCCGCGGUAAUACGUAGGUGGCAAGCGUUAUCCGGAAUUAUUGGGCGUAAAGCGCGCGUAGGCGGUUUUUUAGUCUGAUGUGAAAGCCCACGGCUCAACCGUGGAGGGUCAUUGGAAACUGGAAAACUUGAGUGCAGAAGAGGAAAGUGGAAUUCCAUGUGUAGCGGUGAAAUGCGCAGAGAUGUGGAGGAACACCAGUGGCGAAGGCGACUUUCUGGUCUGUAACUGACGCUGAUGUGCGAAAGCGUGGGGAUCAAACAGGAUUAGAUACCCUGGUAGUCCACGCCGUAAACGAUGAGUGCUAAGUGUUAGGGGGUUUCCGCCCCUUAGUGCUGCAGCUAACGCAUUAAGCACUCCGCCUGGGGAGUACGACCGCAAGGUUGAAACUCAAAGGAAUUGACGGGGGCCCGCACAAGCGGUGGAGCAUGUGGUUUAAUUCGAAGCAACGCGAAGAACCUUACCAAAUCUUGACAUCCUUUGACAACUCUAGAGAUAGAGCCUUCCCCUUCGGGGGACAAAGUGACAGGUGGUGCAUGGUUGUCGUCAGCUCGUGUCGUGAGAUGUUGGGUUAAGUCCCGCAACGAGCGCAACCCUUAAGCUUAGUUGCCAUCAUUAAGUUGGGCACUCUAAGUUGACUGCCGGUGACAAACCGGAGGAAGGUGGGGAUGACGUCAAAUCAUCAUGCCCCUUAUGAUUUGGGCUACACACGUGCUACAAUGGACAAUACAAAGGGCAGCGAAACCGCGAGGUCAAGCAAAUCCCAUAAAGUUGUUCUCAGUUCGGAUUGUAGUCUGCAACUCGACUACAUGAAGCUGGAAUCGCUAGUAAUCGUAGAUCAGCAUGCUACGGUGAAUACGUUCCCGGGUCU
rnacentral:rRNA from 1 species